rnacentral:tRNA from 1 species
GGCUAAUGAACUUGAAUAAGUAUAUAUUUUGAAAAUAUAAAAAAGAAAAAAACUUUCUAUUAGCUU